AUAAUAAUAAGUAAUUAAGAGCGUAUGGCGGAUGCCUUGGCUCUCAGAGGCGAUGAAGGACGUGAUAAGCUGCGAUAAGUUACGAGGAGGUGCAAAUAACCGUUAAUUCGUAAAUUUCCGAAUGGGGCAACCCACUCAGCAAUGAGUAUUCUAUUUAUAGAAGGCAAACCCGGAGAACUGAAACAUCUAAGUACCCGGAGGAGAAGAAAACAAAAGUGAUUCCCUUAGUAGUGGCGAUCGAAAAGGGACCAGCCCAAACCAGUAUUGUUUCGGCAAUGCUGGGGUUAUAGGACUACAACAUGAUAAAGUGCGUGAAGUGAAACGUUUUGGAAAGAACGGCCACAGAGAGUGAUAGCCUCGUCCACGUAAGCAAUCUGCAUCUAGUAGUAUCCUGAGUAGCGCGGAACACGAGAAAUUCUGUGUGAAUUUGCCAGGACCAUCUGGUAAGGCUAAAUACUCCUGAGAGACCGAUAGUGAACAAGUACCGUGAGGGAAAGGUGAAAAGCACCUCGAAUAGAGGAGUGAAAUAGUACCUGAAACCAUACGCUUACAAGCGGUCGGAGCACCUU
rnacentral:rRNA from 1 species